GUGGAGCUCAGCAGGGAUGGGGCGGGGGCGGGGACGGGAGUUCCGCCCCAAACCCUAAGACCCGCCUCCACCAGGACCCGCCCACCUGCCCUCAAAAGGGACCCACCUCCCGCGGGACGCCAGGUGCCGCCCGCCAUCCACUCUCAGCUUCGGCCGUCAGGACCCCGCCCACAAGCCAACUACAAGCCUCCCGCCGGACUUCCCGGGAGCCUCGCCCGGGUUCUCACCUUUGCUGCGCAGAGCGGGCGUAGCCCUGAAAGUAGCGGAAGCGUGCGUACAGGUUACUUCUCUCAGAGUUUGUGUCCCUCGACAUUGAUAUCAAGGUGGACCCUUGCCACGUUUUCUGACCUUGCCACGCUGCUUUCUGCUUUGGGUGUUGGACCUCUGUUGACUUGGCUUUUUCAGCGCUCCUCCCCUCCUGGUAACAGCAACCCCCUCUUUUGGGGAGCAGCCUUUUCCAUGCCACGGGGUGGUGAACAGCUCUUCCCCAGAGCUUUGCCUGGAUCCCCUCCAGCCCUGGCCUCAGCUAAGUGUCUCCUCAGCUAAGUGUCUUGCCCUGCCCGCCCCAUCUAAGUCUCUCAGGCCUCACCUCCCCCGCUGCCCCGGCCACCCAAACACCCCACUAUCUUACACUUUCGUUUCUUCCUGACACCUGCCAUUCUGAAAUCAUCUGUCACCUGUCUAUGACAGACAUGCCCUUCACCUGAGACUGAAGCUCCACGGGGCAGGGCCCUGCUCGCCUACACUGCUGCUACGUUGCCUGCUCCCAGCAUGAUGCCUGGCCAUAGCAGCUGCUCCACAAACACGGGCAGAGGGAGCGGUGUCUCACUGAGCCUGCCGCCAUCACCACAGGAGUCUGGUUUGUGACUCUUGACAGAUACUGGAUAAUGACCAAGUGGCAGAGAUCACAACACUCCUGAGGUCUGGCUUGUUCAACACGGAUAGGGAUAGAGUAGGCACAGGUGGGUGUGGAAGUCCCCACAGGGGAUCCUAGAUAAAGAGGGAAACCUGGGGGUUGUUGGGAGGCUGCUGUAAGUUCAAGAAAACAGGCAGAACAAGGCAGGCUUGCUUAACUAGGGGAGGUGCGAGAAUUGCCUCAGGUCAUUGGAUGAGGGAUGGGAUGAGGCCUGCAUUCAGAUGCAGACCAAGGGUAAGAGUUUGAGGACCACCCUUCAGCUGAUUCAAAUAAACACCUUACCGGAUACUAAGGAGGAGCUACUACUCCCAGAAAGGAAGAGGCGGGCCUUUCCAAACCCCCACGCCUCUUGGAUGCUCAAAUUGUGGUCUGGCCGCACUGGUGUCCUGGGCUCUCCUGGCUCUGCUGGAGAAGGAGAGCGAGGAGCCCAAGGUGAACCCCGACCUGCUGGCCUGCCUGGACCCCCUGGCGAGCAUUGUGGACUGGGUGCUGCUGGGGAGCCUGGCAGAGCUGGAGAGCAAGAUGUUCCUGGCCCUCCCAGUACUGUUGGUCCUGCUGGCAUAGACGGAGAAGCUGGAGCUCAGCCACCGCCCCCCCCACCCCGGACGUGCUCACCUCACUGCAAGCUCCUGGACCCUCGGGAGCAAGAGGUGAGAGAGGAUUCCCCAGCGAGCACGGUGAGCCUGAUCCCCCCGCCCUGCUGGCUUCACUGGCCAACCUGGUGCUCAAGGCAAACCUGCCGAUGCUGGUCCCCCGGCCCCACUAGGAACACUGGUGCUCCUGGACCCAAAGGUGCUCCUGGAAGCGCUGGUCUUCCUGGUGCUACUGGUUUCCGUACAUAUGCUGUUUAACCUCUAGGGUGGCUAGGGAAAAUCAUCUUAACCAGAGUCACCUUGGCUUACGGCCUUCCCAGCAGGAAAGGGACAGUUAGCCAGGUGUUUUCCUCUUUCUCUAGGCAGGCCUGGGCCCUGUCGCAGCAGGAAGUCGUUACUGGAUGGUCGUCUGGCCCAGUAUCCCCUUUAAGCAUAAAGGGGGCAAACACCUGGAGGGGGACAGGAUAGGGGAGGAGUAGGCACAGGCAUAAAGAACCUGAACCUCAGUGAGACCAGACAUGGGGUUUCCUCGCUGAAAGCUGCUUUCCUGCCCUUCUUGGAGCUCCAGCUUCUCCAGGUCUGACCAACUUCCAAGCUAUGGCUAAGGUGAGAGGUCUCUGAAAAAACUUGCCUUCCAGGUUCCUGGUGUGGCUUCUACCACCAUCAUCUCACGUCCCUCAUGGUGUGACAUUGACGGGAAUGGGUGAGUGAAUCUGUCAGAGCACUUGUACUUACAAUAUAAAAGGAAAAGUCAAACAUUUGAAUUGCUAAUUAGGACCUAAAGUAUCCCUGAGUGUUACCUGGUCCAACAUCCCUCACUUUAGAUGUAAGGACAUGGAUGCGCCAGAGAGGGGAGACUGGUGGCACUGCUAGUUUCCUAUCAUCAAAAAACAGAAGGUAAUCUGAGGGAAAGCAAACCAAACACUCCGGCCCACACCCAUGUGCAUCAAGAAAAAAGCUACAUCGCAAAAGGAAACCAACUUCCAAACAAAGCAAUUGUGUCCUGGUCCACCUCCUACCUUUGCUGGCACAGCCAUGUGAAGUGAAAUACACGGGCAGUUUCUGUACUAGCAAAAUACUUUUAUUAUUUUAUAUGAUAAAACAAGGAAAGUAAAGAUUUCUUUUUGGUGUAUACCAGAGUUAAGGGAAGUAGAAAAUUAAGGGGAUUAAUAGGACUUUUAGGUACUUUGAUGACAGUAAAAAGUUAACAAUACCAACUGUUUGCCAUAAAACUUAUCAUAGCUCCCCCAAAACAUAUAUAUAAAGGAUCAUAGUUUUAAAAUCUAUAAAAGUAAAAAAUAUACAGUCAGAAACUCUAACACUUAUUCCAUCUUUAAUAAAAAAUUGUAAACAUUUAUUUACACAAAGCAAAUGUGUAUAACAAAAGUCCGAGCACCCUUUUCUUUUGAGUCAUGGCUCCUGGAAGAUGGGGAUUUGCACUGAAGUGGAGUUGUCUCCUUCCCUGACUACCCAAAAACCAGAUUCAUAAAUAAAAGCCAUGGGCAGCUCCCUGGGGAGACCCUAAGCAUCACAUUUUAUUGCUCUGACACUGAAGCAAGUGAGAAGCCUGCUGUCUGUCUAGGCAGCCCUAGGGCUAAGGCAGAGGCAGCCCUCCCCAGAAGGGGGAGGCAGAGGCGUGAGCGCCUGCCGGGGGACAGAGGUGAGCAGCAGCCAGAGAGAGAUCAGGAGAGGAACAAGGACCCACCACCAGCCUUCAGCCCGCUAUUUUUGGUAGAAAACCCGCUGAAGUCACCCUCUUCCCCUUUAGAUUGGGGAACUCACUCAGAGGGUGGAGUCUUCACUGGCUUUAUGAUUCAUUCCCUUCUUUGAGAGCUAAAUUCAGCAUCUGGGGAAGGCAAGGAAGUGUUUAAAGGGGAAAUGGCCCAAACACCAUCCAUGGUGCCAAAUGGCUAUUAGAGAAGAGGAUCUGAGGGUCCACGUACCCCCAUGAAAGGCACUGCUGGUGCAAAAUAAUUACCAAUGUAUGUACAACCCUUCAUCCCCUCAAAGCCACUCAAACUGGUUGUGUGACUAUUUUCCUUGGCUCAACUCCUUACAUACGAUACUCCUUGAAUUACUCUUUCUGAGGCUCCAGGGAAACAAAAAUGGGGAUGUGGUUUCUCCAUAGACCACUCUGCACACAAGCCACUCUUUUCAGUGUACUAUUUUUUCUCCAACACUGUUUAAAAGGGUCUCACCCUGCGCUUUCCAUAAGUUGAAGUGCUCUCUAUUUGUUUUCCACAGUCACAGGUAAUACUGUUUUGUGGACUCUUAGCUUAGUCAAGUCCAUUACUUUGUAGACUUAUAAAAGAGAAAUCCACUAGAAUCUUUAGAAAGGAUGUAUUAGUGUUAUAAAGCAAUUCUCUUUAAAAAGUGCAAGUCAUCUGAUGAGGGAGUGGCAGAAGUAGUAAAACAAAGUGGCACUCCUUCCUCUGGCCGGGCCCGCCCACUCCCUGCCAAACAGGGCAAGCUUCUUUUUCUCCUUCCCCCAAACCUUUGCGUUGCGGGGAGGGGAUACCUCCCCCUCCUUACAAUGCUAGGAUUCCCUAGGGAAUUCUAACAACUCAUUCUCUUCCCCUAAAUCUAGUAGAUCAGUGCCUUAAGGAGGUUUUCCAUUUGGGCCAGAGAGAAAAAGAAGGGAAGGCAGAUGGGAACUAAAGACAGUGUGAAUGAAGGAAAGACAUCUGUGCAUAACUCAAUAAUGAUCACUUUCCUAACAGGUUAAACAUGAGUUUUUGGGGAAACUGCAAAAGGUAGGAAGUUACAACAAAAGACACAGGAACCCCAAUUAUUCCAUUUCAGCAUUUAGCCUGGGGAUUGCCUGGGGUCUGGCUACCAAGGUGUAGGAGGAGGAUUCCGCGGCCUAGGUCCUCCUAAAUGCCAACCUGGGAGAACAGCAUUCUGGGAGGAGGAGCUGAGGGACAGACCACAUCUGUGUCACUAGCUCUGCUGUUUCACGGCAUCCUGUUUCUUUUUGGCACAUGCAAUUAGAGCCUGCACUUAAUGGAAAUGAUUUUCCAGUGAGCCUCCCCUUCCCCUGAAAGCUGACAAAGAACAGGAAUAAAAAAGGCUCUUAAUCAAAAAAACCCCAGGUUUCCAAUGCCACAUAAUCAAUUUAAACCAUCACCUAUUCUAAUCUGUUUUAAAAUCUUAAAAAUUAAAAAAAAAAAAAA